rnacentral:rRNA from 1 species
AGAGUUUGAUCCUGGCUCAGGACGAACGCUGGCGGCGUGCCUAACACAUGCAAGUCGAGCGGAGACAGUGAGUAGCUUGCUAUGAGCUGUUUUAGCGGCGGACGGGUGAGUAACGCGUGAGCAACCUUUCCCAGACAGGGGAAUAACACACCGAAAGGUGUACUAAUACCGCAUAAGACCACGGGAUCACAUGGUUCUGGGGUAAAAGAUUUAUCGGUUUGGGGUGGGCUCGCGUCCGAUUAGGUAGUUGGUGAGGUAACGGCCCACCAAGCCGACGAUCGGUAGCCGACCUGAGAGGGUGAUCGGCCACAUUGGGACUGAGACACGGCCCAAACUCCUACGGGAGGCAGCAGUGGGGAAUAUUGCACAAUGGGCGAAAGCCUGAUGCAGCAACGCCGCGUGAAGGAAGAAGGCCUUCGGGUCGUAAACUUCUGUCCUAUGGGAAGAAACAAAUGACGGUACCAUAGGAGGAAGCCCCGGCUAACUACGUGCCAGCAGCCGCGGUAAUACGUAGGGGGCAAGCGUUGUCCGGAAUAAUUGGGCGUAAAGGGCGCGUAGGCGGCUCGGUAAGUCUGGAGUGAAAGUCCUGCUUUUAAGGUGGGAAUUGCUUUGGAUACUGUCGGGCUUGAGUGCAGGAGAGGUUAGUGGAAUUCCCAGUGUAGCGGUGAAAUGCGUAGAGAUUGGGAGGAACACCAGUGGCGAAGGCGACUAACUGGACUGUAACUGACGCUGAGGCGCGAAAGUGUGGGGAGCAAACAGGAUUAGAUACCCUGGUAGUCCACACUGUAAACG